AGGAUGAACGUUGGCGGCGUGCCUAACACAUGCAAGUCGAGCGUGGCUUUAGUUUACUAAAGUCUAGCGGCGGACGGCUGAGUAAUGCACAGGAACGUACCCGAGAGUGGGGGAUAGCCCAUCGAAAGAUGGGGUAAUACCGCAUUCGCUCGCAAGAGUAAAGCCGCAAGGCGCUUUCGGAGCGGCCUGUGUCCUAUCAGGUUGUUGGUGGGGUAAUUGCCUACCAAGCCUAUGACGGGUAGCUGGUCUGAGAGGAUGAUCAGCCAGACCGGGACUGAGACACGGCCCGGACUCCUACGGGAGGCAGCAGUUGGGAAUCUUGCGCAAUGGACGAAAGUCUGACGCAGCGACGCCGCGUGGAGGAUUAAGGCCUUGGUUGUAACUCCUUUGCUAGGGAGUAAUUUUGUAAGUACCUAGCGAAUAGCACCGGCUAACUCCGCGCCAGCAGCCGC
rnacentral:rRNA from 1 species